GGUUAAAAGUGUGAAUCGCAAGAACAAAAAAGCCAGCAUUGUAUUUAUUGAUUGUUACCUAAUCGACCAAAAGAGAAUUAGAAAAGGGUUUUCUGUAUCUCUGCGAACCCUAAAACCUUUUGAUUGUGAAGAAUAUGAAAAAUUGGUGGACAUUGCAAAAGAGAAGUAUGGCAAUGCUAUUACCUGGUCUCUGGAACUGAUAUCGGACUAUAGGAUCCGCAUCGGAUGUGGAUCUUUCUCGGGCUCCUUCAUCGAAUACUGUGCUGCUGACAUCAGU